rnacentral:rRNA from 1 species
GCCAGACUCCUACGGGAGGCAGCAGUGGGGGAUAUUGCACAAUGGGGGAAACCCUGAUGCAGCGACGCCGCGUGGGCGAAGAAGUAUUUCGGUAUGUAAAGCCCUAUCAGCAGGGAAGAAGAAAUGACGGUACCUGAGUAAGAAGCACCGGCUAAAUACGUGCCAGCAGCCGCGGUAAUACGUAUGGUGCAAGCGUUAUCCGGAUUUACUGGGUGUAAAGGGAGCGCAGGCGGCACGGCAAGCCUGAUGUGAAAGCACGCGGCCCAACCGCGGGACUGCAUUGGGAUCUGGCGCGCUGGAGUGCCGGAGGGGUAGGCGGAAUUCCUAGUGUAGCGGUGAAAUGCGUAGAUAUUAGGAGGAACACCAGUGGCGAAGGCGGCCUACUGGACGGUGACUGACGCUGAGGCUCGAAAGCGUGGGGAGCAAACAGGAUUAGAUACCCUUGUAA